rnacentral:rRNA from 1 species
UAGGGAAUAUUGGACAAUGGGCGAAAGCCUGAUCCAGCAAUCUCGCGUGAGUGAUGAAGGUGUAUUGCAUUGUAAAACUCUUUUAUUAGGGAAGAUAAUGACGGUACCUAAUGAAUAAGCACCGACUAACUAUGUGCCAGCAGUCGCGGUAAUACAUAGGGUGCAAGCAUUGCUCGGAAUUAUUGGGCGUAAAGAACAUGUAGGAGGAUUUGUAAGUCAAAAGUGUAAUCCCAAGGCUCAACCUUGGAACUGCUUUUGAUACUACAAGUCUUGAGCAAGAUAGAGGAUAGCGGAAUUCUUAGUGUAGGGGUUAAAUCCAUAGAUAUUAAGAGGAACAACAGAGGCGAAGGCGGCUAUCUGGGUCUUUGCUGACUCUAAAGUGUGAAAGCGUGGGGAGCAA